rnacentral:rRNA from 1 species
UACGUAGGUGGCAAGCGUUGUCCGGAAUUAUUGGGCGUAAAGAGCAUGUAGGUGGAUACUUAAGUCUGUUGUGAAAAUGCGGGGCUCAACCCCGUAUUGCGAUGGAAACUGGGUGUCUUGAGUGCAGGAGAGGAAAGGGGAAUUCCCAGUGUAGCGGUGAAAUGCGUAGAUAUUGGGAGGAACACCAGUGGCGAAGGCGCCUUUCUGGACUGUGUCUGACACUGAGAUGCGAAAGCUAGGGGAGCGAACG